rnacentral:rRNA from 1 species
GGGGGCACCCUGACGGAGCGACGCCGCGUGCAGGAUGAAGGCCUUCGGGUCGUAAACUGCUGUCACACGUUAUGAAACUGUACGAACUAAUACUUCGUACCUUGACAAAGGCGUGAAAGGAAGCCACGGCUAACUUCGUGCCAGCAGCCGCGGUAAGACGAAGGUGGCUAGCGUUGCUCGGAUUUACUGGGCAUAAAGCGCGCGUAGGUGGUCUUGUAAGCGGGGGAUGAAAGCCCAUGACUCACCCAUGGAACUGUCUCCCGGACUGCAAGGCUCGAGGAAGGAAGGGGAGAAUGGAAUUCCCGGUGUAGCGGUGAAAUGCGUAGAUAUCGGGAGGAACGCCGGUGGCGAAAGCGAUUCUCUGGUCCUUUCCUGACACUGAGGCGCGAAAGCUAGGGGAGCAAACAGGAUUAGAUACCCUGGUAGUCCUAGCUGUAAACGAUGGGCACUAGGUAGAGGGGGUGUCGAUACUCUCUCUGUCGUAGCAAAUGUGUUAAGUGCCCCGCCUGGGGAGUACGGUCGCAAGGCU